UUGUGGAUAAAGAUAUGUGACUCAUAAAGACACAGGCAUGAUAUUCUACACCCGGAGCCUCAGAACACUCAGCUAUGCUACCUCCUGACACACAGAAAGUUCUCAUGUAUUGCUUCUCAUUCAUAGCAGUUUUGAGAGUUACAUCUUUUAAAAAACAUCUUAUUUUUAUUUUAAAUGAAUGGCUGUAUUGCCUGCAUGUAUGUCUUUGCACAUGUAUGCCUAGUGCCCAUGGAAGUCCAAAACCAGGCAUUGAAUUCCCUGGAACUAGAAUUACAGAAGGUUGUGAGCCAUCAUGUGGGUGCUGGGAACUGAUCCCAAGUCCUCUGCAAGAACAAUCAGUGAUCUUAACUGCUGAGCUGUUUCUCCAGCCUCAAGAAUUACAUAUUUUAACAAUGGGAAAUAACUUUUAUUUUAUUCUUGAUUAUGGAUAUUGACCUUGAAUUGUACUAGCUCUGAUUUAAUAUUACCUCUUAAAGUCUGUUAAUAUUACUAGUUAAUAUCUUGUUGAUAUACUAGUAUGCAUUUUUUUUGUAACUGCCAAGUUCUGCCUGGCUUCAGAGAUUGACUUGCCCAGAGUGAUAAGGGAAUGAAAUGACAGACAUACAUACAAAAAAAAGGCUGGAAUUGGAUGGGCUGUGCUGCCUCAGACAGAGGGCACCAAGAAACUAGGAAACCUAGAAACACUGUACAUUUAUUUUAUACAUUUCAAUCAAGGAGGUUUGUGGUGUGCAGUCAAUCACAGAAGUCGUAGCUGGUCUGCCUGGGAGGCCUCUGUAGGAAGCAUCUCAGGUUGCAGUCAUCUGGGAAGAGGAGGCUGCAGCUGCUAGACUUUGUACACACUGGGCAAUCGUUGGCAAACACUUACACCUGAACCAAAGGAAGGCUUUGCCAAUUCCUGAGCCUGAUGCAGGGAAGGCUUUGCUGUACUCAUGGUCCUGAGGCACUGGGGUCCUUGACAUGGUCGUACUCAUGUCAACAACACACUAACUUAGGACUUCAUUUGCUUCUUACACAUAGCUAGUUAUAUAUUUUGAGAUAUGAGUAUUUUAGUAGUUAAUAGAUUUUGUUAUAAACACUAUGCUGAGUGUUUUGUCUUAAAAAUUGUAUUUAUAACAUGGCAUACUCAGUCUCUAUGUCUGACUUUGAUUGUGCUUCCUCCUUCCAGAAGCUUGCUAGUGCUCAGUUUUUGUCCACCCUUGCAGAGGUAAAUGAAAACCUUUUGUGCAGUAUAUGAACACGUUCAGUGUAGAUGGAUUUAUGUUGAGAUUUAUGUUGAACCACUUGGACUUAAGUUUUGUGCAUGGAGACGAUAUGGAUCUAUUUGCAGUGUUCCACAUCCUGACAUCCAGUUAUGCCAUCACCAUUUGUUGAAGAUGUGUGCUGCAUCAAAUGACCAAACGAAAGAGUUCUUCCGACACCCAAGGAAUACACAGUGGAGAUGGGGCAGCAAAGACUGGACAGAUAUCCCAGCGGGAAGCCGAGAAACACAGAGGUUUAUCAGCUGCCACUGCACAUCACAGAAGGGGCUUAAGCCCAAACUGACAUUUACUGGCUCAUAUAAAGGGAGCAUUUUGGGAGUGUUCCAGAGUUGAGAAGCAGCGAUGGUCUAGCCCACCUGUGCGACUGACCCAUAUGUGGAGAGGGUGCCUUUCUUCUUCAGUGCCCUGGAAGCCCUCCUGGAUUCCAGCUAGUUGCUGUGGGCUGCAGAUUCAGCCUAUGAAGAAGCUUGCAUCAGCUCAUCAUCUACGAAGGCAUCUCUGGACGGUCCUGGACCCCCGCACUUCUCUGCAUUCAUUAUUCCUUGUCAGUGGAUCUUUUGGUGGAAAUUACGAAGUUAGUAGACAGAGAGGAAGAAAGAACUAUAAAAGAAGAAAAGGUCCUGAAAUGGAGCAGCUCUUCUCCAGUGAGAAGAAGUAACACAAAUGUUCUCUUCUUAGCCGGCUUUCAGAACAGCAAGACCUUUAGCUUGUGGUUCACCUGAAAACAUUUGUGUGAGGUUUUCCCUUCUCCAAUCUGUUUUUAGAUCUGACAUUUUGAUCUUAGGUUUUUAGGACACUUUAGACUUUAUUAUGCUUUUUUGAAUAAGAAUUUACGGUUUGCCAUUCUUUAUAUAUGGUUCUACAUCCAACAAUUUAUCCGGACUUGGAUAGAAAAUAUUUGAAAAACCUGGCAUCUGUUCUGAACAUGUACAGACCCCCCAUUAUUCCCUAAAAACACAGUGUACAGCAAUCAGGAGUGCCUCACUCAUGCUAGCCUCAAAGGCUUUACCACUGAGCUAUGUGCCCAGACCCACCUGAAAGCACAUGGGGAAAUUUUUGUGGGCUUUACGGGAAUGGAACAUCAUUCGAGGAAGGUACUUGACAUCCACAGAUUAUAACAUCAAUGGGCUAUCCUGGGACUGGCACCCAAAGAUACUGACAUCCACAAGAUGUCCUGGUAUGCCCUGAAGAACCCUGACAUCUGUGGAGUGUCUGAUAUAGACUCCCAAGGAUACUGACAUCCAUGAAGUGUCCCAUAUGAAUCUACAAGUGACAUUUGUACCCACAAGGUGUCCUAGUACCAACUGCCAAGCAUACCAAGGGUCAGGGUAGUUCCUUCUCUUGUUGGUAUUAAGAAUCAAGGUCAUAAAUGGAAAGAGUAUAUUGAACAACUGUACUGUGACUCUCAGUCUCAUGGAUCAUCAAUGUUUUGAGUUGUUGGCUUUUUCUAGCAGCCCUGGACACUGGAAGAGUUCAUCAACUCUGUUCCAGGGAGGAGAAGGAGGUGUGGAGAGAUACAGAGUGCAGGCUGUAGAGAAUCUUGUGAUUAACUAUAGUGUUUAGAUGUCAGCUUGAUGCUAAUCUAAAAGAUUAGAUUCUGUAUCACUCUAAACAACCUACAAGAUGUACAGUAGUGAUGAUAUGAACAAUCAGAGUUGCCCUGACUGCAACAUGAUUAGCUGAUAAGCCUGUGCCUUCAGACAUCAUAACUUCUUGACUUUGCAGGGGACUUUUGGAAGAACUGUCUGUUACGUUAAAGUAUGUAGUAUUAAAAUCUAAAGAAUGAUGACAUUUCAAGAUGUACAAGCCAUGUAGUGGCUAAAAAGACACAGAAUUUAAAUUGGUUAUGGUCAUAGUUACUACUUUGUGUCAACUUUAUACCGACUUAAAUCUAUUGGGGAAGAGGGAGUCUCUGCUGAAGAAUUGCUCCCACCAGAUUGGCCCGAUGGCUUGUCUGGAGGGCACUUCUGGAUUGCUGAUUGAUACGGAAGGACCCAGCCCACUGUGGCUGGUCUUCCCUAGGUGGGCAGUUUUUAGCUGUAUAAUAAAGCAGCGGAGCAAGCCAGGGAGAUCAAACUAAUAAUCAGUGUUCCUCCAUGGUUUCUGUUUCGAGCUCCUGCCUUGAGUUCAUGCCAUGGCUGCCCUAGCUGGUGAACUGCAGCCUGCCAGCCAGAUGAACUCCUUUCUCCCCAAGUGGUGUUUGGUCAGACGAAAAGAGCUAUGAAUCAGAUACUCCCAGUCUUCAUGGGGGAACAAACAAGGACAAUAUGACAGGAGAGGGCAGACUGAAAUCCUGGUUCCUUUGUCUUGCUUGGUGGAGUAUUCAAAGUCAAAGAAUGCUAUGGAAUAGCCACUUGUAGUCCAGUUGAAUUCUGAUAGCACUGUACUAACACGCUGUACUGAGAAAUAACUUUUAAAGGAGCAGCCAGCAAGGUUAGUGGAAUCAUCGAGGCAGUAUAAAAGACUGAAAUAUUAGGCAAAACCUUCCAAAGCCAUUAUUUUGGACAGUCAAUUUGAAUGGCCAGGCCUCACAAAAAAAACGCAGAGAUUUCCGGCAAAGAACCCACUAUGGAAAUAGCAACAACAUUCAGCACACCCUGUUCACCAAGCUCGUGUGCUGCCAAACUACUAAGUGGCUGACAAAUACCCUCCUAAGCCUGUGCCAAUGCCCAGGCUGUUUCUGAAGAUUGGCUGGAAAAAAUGCAACACCAGGCACACUGCACAGACAUUGUGCGAACGUGUCGUAUUAAAUGCUUCAGUUUCUUGAUUUACCAGGAAGGGCACCAAAGAGAAGGUGAAGAGAGGAGCCCCCAUGUUUAUAGAUUUCUAGUUAGACAGUGGGAAGACACAGGACAUGUUCUUGGCGCACCGCUCUAGGCUUCCAGUGAGACGGUCCAGAGCUGCUCUGAGACUACCCAGGUGGACGGGUCCUCAGACCUGCAGUGGGCACAGGGGUAGUAGGGCGCACAAAUACAGAACGAUUUGCCUUAAUCAUUAAUGUUUACUCAAUGAAAACAGAGGAUGGAACACUAUGGUGACAUUCAAGAUGAAGACGGGCCAGCAGCUGCCCGGACUUUUAAUAUCAAGUUUAUAUUAGAUUACUCAGUGGUUUUAAACAACUUAUUACAGUCCCUCCCCAUUCUCCUCUUUCUCCUCCCUCUCCCCUUCUUCCCCAUCCCUGCCAUAUCUCCCCUCCUUCCCCUUCUUCCCCCGUUUUCUUUCUCUUCCUUCCCCUCCCCUUUCCUCUUAGCCCUCUCCUUUCCCAUCUCCUCCACGUUUCCUCCCCCUCUCUCACCCCUCCCCUUCCUUUCUCUUCUGUUCCCUUGUUUUCUGAGAAAAGGUCUCAAUUUGUAGCAGGCUGACCUCAGACUUCCCAUCCUCCUUCCUCAUCACCACCCCCAAAGUUGAGAUUACAGGAAACGACAAUUUCUAAUUUAUUUAUUUAUUGAUGGAUCCAGCUGAAAGCCAAUCUUUGUUAUGUCUAUUUAAAACAUCCCUUGGAAUCCAUGUAUUUCCUAUAAAGACCUGACACUCUGUGAAGCAGCUAAUGGAUCAUCAGUUCACAACAUUGCAAUUUUAGAGUGAGACACAGGCUGAGUGCCACCUCUAGAACUCUCCUGAUGGAAUUUUAGAUCAAGGGUGGAAUUAUUGCAAGAGUGUCAGUGCCCUAUCAGGUCAGGAGGCCUCGGUCAAGCAGUGGUGCAGGAGCAGCUUCCUGGAAGCAUAAGGUCCACUCAUUCCCUCAUUUCCUGCUUGUGACUGCGGGUCCUUCUGCCAUACAGCAGACCUGCAGGACCUUCUGCCCUGCUGCAGUCCCGUGGGUCCGUCUGCCAUGCUGCAGGCCCCGAGGGUCUGUCUGCCAUGCUGCAGUGCAGAUGAAGGCCUACCUCACAUACCAGUUCUGUGUUGAUGGACUUGUCAGCCUUCAGAAUCAUGAGUCUGAUGAAGUUCUCUUAUUUAUAAGUUAUUCAAUCUGCUGUAUUCUGAAAUAGUCACAGAAAACAUGAAGUUAAGGCAUGGAAUGAAAAAAUGGACAGGUAGUGUGAUGGCUAGUCUUGGUUGUCAACUUGGCUACACGUGGCUUCGACUAAAACCUGAGUAGUGGGCACAUCUCUGAGGGGUUUUCUUGAUUGGAUCAUUCUUGAGCUGGGAAGAUCCUCCCUAAAUUUGAACCACACCUUCUGCUGGUAGCCCAUACAAAAGGCCACAGAAGAAGGAAAUUUUGCUCUUUUGUCUGCUUGUACUCACUCCCGAUGGCAAGUUCAUCUAUCCCAUUCCUGAGGCAUUCCUUCCCUGGUGUUAGAACCUACUUCUUUGGAUUCUAGCAUACACUGAGUACCAGCAUCUCUCUAGGAGUUCCCUGGGAUUCCACUACCAAAUUGGGACUGCUGAGACUCCUAGCCUUGUGGACUCAACCAAUAUCAGACUCUUGGCCUUUUUGUUGGGCCCAGUCAGAGCAUAGCCUGUACCCCACUUUAAUAACCACACACACUCACACACUCACACACACACACACACACACACACACACACACACACACACACACACAAACACACACAAACACACACACGUAUAUUCAUUCUAUCUGUUCUGUUCCAUUACAGAACUCUAAUUUGGGCAGACAGUUAUUAAAGAUCUUGACUUCAGUUCCUUUGGAUGUAGACCCAGAAACAGGGUCUACAUUGUAUGCUAAAUUAUAUGGUAGAUCUGGUUUUAUUGUUUCAUUUUAGAAAUGUAACACACUGAUUUCCAUGGGGAGAUGUACUUACUUACAACAUUCAGGGAAAUGUAUAGCACUGUGUUUACUUUUUCCAAGGAAUGAGUUACAAUGAGUUACCACAUUCCCCCUCCCUUAGU